UACGGGGGGGGGCAAGCGUUGUUCGGAAUUACUGGGCGUAAAGGGCUCGUAGGUGGCCAACUAAGUCAGACGUGAAAUCCCUCGGCUUAACCGGGGAACUGCGUCUGAUACUGGAUGGCUUGAGUUCGGGAGAGGGAUGCGGAAUUCCAGGUGUAGCGGUGAAAUGCGUAGAUAUCUGGAGGAACACCGGUGGCGAAGGCGGCAUCCUGGACCGACACUGACGCUGAGGAGCGAAAGCGUGGGGAGCAAACAGG
rnacentral:rRNA from 1 species